rnacentral:rRNA from 1 species
GACGAACGCUGGCGGCGUGCUUAACACAUGCAAGUCGAACGGAAAGGCCCUGCUUUUGUGGGGUGCUCGAGUGGCGAACGGGUGAGUAACACGUGAGUAACCUGCCCUUGACUUUGGGAUAACUUCAGGAAACUGGGGCUAAUACCGGAUAGGAGCUCCUGCUGCAUGGUGGGGGUUGGAAAGUUUCGGCGGUUGGGGAUGGACUCGCGGCUUAUCAGCUUGUUGGUGGGGUAGUGGCUUACCAAGGCUUUGACGGGUAGCCGGCCUGGGAGGGUGACCGGCCACAUUGGGCCUGAGAUACGGCCCAGACUCCUACGGGAGGCAGCAGGGGGGAAUAUUGCACAAUGGGCGGAAGCCUGAUGCAGCAACGCCGCGUGCGGGAUGACGGCCUUCGGGUUGUAAACCGCUUUCGCCUGUGACGAAGCGUGAGUGACGGUAAUGGGUAAAGAAGCACCGGCUAACUACGUG